rnacentral:lncRNA from 1 species
UUCCUGGAAUGGCAGCUAUAGAGCUGCAGGAACUCAGACAGGACGGAGUCAACAGUGCAAACAGUGCAGAUAACAGGGUUGGACAGGAGGCUAUUCUGCAUGAUGCUGCAAUGUAACAGUAUAUCUAUCAUCUGUUAUUUGCAAAAGCCCACAGAAUGUAUGAGAAGAUAGAAGUCCUGGUGUGAGCUACCAGCUUCAGCAUGCCCCUGAGGUGGCUCCGAAGGCUUCAGACCUCGAUCAGUGAGCCAGCGCACCUCUCAGGGAUCGUUCGUAAUCACUGCUCUUGUAGCACGGUGUUACCUGACCAGCCUGCCCUCUGAUCUCUUCUUUACUUUGACUGACUGGGUUAGCCAAAAGAAACCAUCGUGUGGAACUUAGAAAUCACUUUGUAUCAUCUAACACAACAAUACGACAAAGUGUGUAACAUGUAUUUGCAUCUAGAUGAUGUAUUAAAUUACUAAAAGUAUAUCCAAUCCUUU